CAGAGGACAGCCCCACACAGGGGAAACAGCAACUAUCUUCAAGCCCUUCACCAAAGCUACAGACAUCAAUCUGCUCCCCUAAUGCCUCUGACGCCCCUGAGUCACUGUCCCUCCACUAGCACCCAAGGACAAAGUAUUUCCUGAAUUAACACCUGAAAAUUUCAUCUGAGAAUUCAAUCACAUAGCUUUCACAUUUAAAGGACCCUUUGAUUGCAAUGGGCUCAUCCAGACGGUCCAGAAAAAUCUCCUUAUUCUAAGGUAACAGACCUGUAUCACAGACUAAAGACUUUUCUUUUCAAUUCCUAUCUCUGCCCUUUUUAUUCUUCAUAAGUGUUUUCCCAAUAAAUCUCUUGUAUGUCUAAAUACAUAUGAAGGUCUGCUUGUCAGAAGACCCAAACUGAACAAAAUUCUCCACAAUUCAAUUUUGAUGAAGUUCAAGGCCAAGAAAAACUACAUUGUGUAAUAGAAGUAAAAUUUUUCCUUCAAAAUGGGAAGGCAGAAUGGACUCUACUGGAAACUAAAUAGGGUGGUGAACAGAUUUUCUAUAAUGAUUGCGUGGGGGCCAGAAAGUAUUUUACAUUUAUUAAAACUCAAGUAACUUUAUGUUUUACA